rnacentral:sRNA from 1 species
AGGGCUUUAUCGAGUUGGUCCCGAAGGAUGAUCCGCUCAUCCCCUAAGGAAAGGGGGUGAUGCCAUGACAGUUUACGAGGCAAUCUCUCUCAUGAUUGCUUUCGGUGCGCUGGUCGAUUAAUACUGUCGGAAAAGAAAAAAGAUAGACCGCCCUUGAGCCCACAACUCAGCGGUUCUAUCCCAUACACUUGAGCCGGCCCCAUGAGGGGCAACUAUUGUACUUCAACCGUAGGUGUUCCUGCACCUGCG